rnacentral:rRNA from 1 species
AUUGCGAUGGAACACGUUGAGAAUCUUGUUGAGGGUAACAAUGGAACUCCUGUGAGGAGUAAGAGACAGAGGACUACAAAGUCUUUUGGUGAUGAUUUCAUUGUGUACCUCGUGGAUGACACACGCAGGACUAUUUCAGAAGCCUAUGCAUCUCCUGAUGCUGACUACUGGAAGGAAGCAGUACGUAGCGAGAUGGAUUCCAUCUUAGCUAACGGUACCUGGGAGAUCACUGACCGUCCUUAUGGGUGCAAACCUGUAGGAUGUAAGUGGGUGUUCAAGAAGAAGCUUAGACCUGAUGGUACGAUUGAAAAGUAUAAGGCACGGCUUGUGGUCAAGGGUUAUACCCAGAAAGAAGGUGAAGACUUCUUUGAUACUUACUCACCCGUGGCUAGACUGACCACAAUUCGGGUGCUACUAUCACUGGCUGCCUCACAUGGUCUUCUCGUUCAUCAAAUGGACGUUAAGACAGCUUUCCUCAAUGGAGAGUUGAAGGAGGAAAUUUACAUGGAUCAGCCAGAUGGUUUUGUAGUACCUGGUCAGGAAGGAAAGGUGUGCAAGUUAUUAAAGUCUUUAUAUGGCCUUAAACAAGCUCCUAAGGAGUGGCAUGAGAAGUUCGAAAGAACAUUAACUGCUGCCGGCUUUGUAGUAAACGAUAGUGACAAGUGCGUGUACUAUCGCUAUGGUGGGGGCGAAGGAGUUAUUCUUUGUCUGUAUGUCGACGACAUAUUGAUCUUUGGAACCAAACUUGAUUUAAUAAAGGAGGUUAAGGAUUUCUUAUCUCUCUGUUUUGAGAUGAAGGAUCUAGGAGUAGCUGAUGUUAUCUUAAACAUCAAGCUGUUGAGAGAUGAGAAUGGUGGGAUCACACUGCUUCAGUCUCAUUAUGUGGAAAAGGUCUUGAGUCGUUUUGGGUAUAGCGACUGCACGCCUUCUCCAACUCCAUAUGAUGCUAGUGUUGCCACGAGACCUGACAUCUGUUUUGCUGUGAGCAAGCUGAGUCGGUUUGUGUCAAAACUGGGAGAUGAUCAUUGGCAUGCGCUUGAGAGAGUUAUGCGCUAUUUGAAAGGCACCGCGAGCUAUGGGAUUCACUACACCGGGUAUCCAAGGGUACUAGAGGGUUAUAGUGACUCAAACUGGAUAUCUGAUGCUGAUGACAUUAAGGCCACAAGUGGUUAUGUUUUUACACUUGGUGGUGACACUACCACUAUUGAAGCAGAGUGGCUUCGUGAACUCUUGAUGGACUUACCUAUGGCUGAAAAACCAAUACCCCCUAUCCUGAUGAUCUGUGAUAAUCAAACUGUGAUCGUCAAGAUAAACAGUACUAGGGACAAAAUAAAGUCCUCAAGGCAUGUGAAGAGGAGACUAAAAUCUGUCAAAAAAUUGAGGAACUCCGGAGUUAUUACGUUGGAUUAUAUCCAAACGUCGAAAAACUUGGCAGAUCCCUUCACAAAGGGUCUAUCACGUAAUGUGAUAGAUAAUGCAUCGAUGGAGAUGGGUUUGAGACCCACC